UAGAUGGUGUGUAGGCUGUUUAUCAACAUGUGAAAUCAAUGUGUAUUUCAGGAGUAGUUUCCCCUGUUAAAGAUCAAUAAUUCACAACAUACAAUGCGGCAUGCAGUCUGGUCAUCAAUGGAGAGUUUUGACACCUGUAUACCUGUAUUCUACCAGUCAUCUUUGUAGCCUUUGUUGUGUUCAUCAGACAGGGUUUAGGUGAAAGUGGUCUGUCACUGAGUCAACAAUUACUGUAGCCAAUAGUUGGUGCCAUUCACAAGCAGAAUAAUAUACAUAAAGCCUGAACAUCCAUCAUGUUUGAUCUUAAACUACCAGACUACCAGUGUUGGACAACUGGAGCCUUGCCUAGUAUUACUCAAAUUUGAGCUAUGGGGAUAGAGUCCAGAGAUAUUUUCCCUAUGGAUGUGUUUCAAAGAAUUCUGAUGGACCUUGGAGCAGUGUCAGUUAUGGGAGAUAAUUUCACUACUUGUGUUUUUCCAAAAGUUUCCAUGUGACCUAGAGAUGGACUCAGGCUAUUUUCUUGCUACCCAUGUUUUUCCAAGAUUUUCCAUGUGGCCUGAAGCAGGACAAACCACCAGGAAUACUAUGUGAAGGAUCCUUUAUAAUUUUUGGAUGGUUGUGGGAAUUUGAUGUAUUAUUGUAGUGUAUAACCAUGACAUUUUUCAUGAUAUAUGUAGGAUAAUAGAAGAAUUCAUUUUGCUAGAUAAUUGUUUAAGAUUACUUAGGCUUACUGUUUUAUCUGAAUGAGACUGAAUCUUUCAGAGAGCAUUUAAUUAUUUUUUUAUCUAGAAGUAUUGAGGUUUAAAUUAUACUUUUUUCCUUUUACUUAAAUUUCCUUUUUGAAGUUUAUUGUAUUCUUAAGAUUGAGUCAAUAUUUAUUUGUAUGUCUUUGUUUUAAA